UCAGGGAGAAGUCUCUUCGGGGAUGAUUAAACCGGCGCACGGGUGAGUAACACGUGAGUGACCUGCCUUUUAGACUGGAACAACUUACCGAAAGGUGAGCUAAUGCCGGAUGAGUUAUAUAAGUGCAUGUUUAUAUAGGAAAAGUUGGGGAGACCUGACGCUGAAAGAUGGACUCGCGUCCCAUUAGCUAGUUGGUAGGGUAAUGGCCUACCAAGGCGACGAUGGGUAGCCGGCCUGAGAGGGUGGCCGGCCACACUGGGACUGAGACACGGCCCAGACUCCUACGGGAGGCAGCAGUGGGGAAUUUUGCGCAAUGCUCGUAAGAGUGACGCAGCGACGCCGCGUGAAUGACGAAGGCCUUCGGGUCGUAAAGUUCUUUCGACAGGGAAGAAAAUGCCUAUAAGUAACUAUGUAUGUAUUGACGGUACCUGUAUAAGCAGCCCCGGCUAACUCCGUGCCAGCAGCCGCGGUAAUACGGAGGGGGCGAGCGUUGUUCGGAGUGACUGGGCGUAAAGAGCACGUAGGCGGUGUUGUAAGUCAUUAGUCAAAGACUAGAGCUCAACUUUAGUAAGGCUAGUGAUACUAUAAUACUAGAGUAUCAGAGAGGAUUGCAGAAUUCCUGGUGUAGCGGUGAAAUGCGUAGAUAUCAGGAGGAAUACCGUUAGCGAAGGCGGCAAUCUGGCUGGAAACUGACGCUGAGGUGCGAAAGCGUGGGUAGCAAACAGGAUUAGAUACCCUGGUAGUCCACGCUGUAAACGAUGGAUGCUAGGUGUUGGGCUU
rnacentral:rRNA from 1 species